rnacentral:lncRNA from 10 species
AAACUGAAACACAAGGCUGUGCUGAAAGAGGAUUAUAAGAUUUGGCUCAUGGAAAUAAGCCCUAUUGACUGCUGUGGUCUAAACGUUGGUGUCCCCCACCCAAAUUCAUAUGUUGGCACCUAAAAGGAACCAAAUAUGUUCACUCCAACCUCUUGAAUGGAAUUAGUACUUUUAUAAAAGGGGCCUGAGAGAGCUCCCUUGCCCCUUCCAUCAUGUGAGGAUGCAGCAGCAAGAUGCCAUCUAUGGAGCAGACAGCAAGCCCUUACCAUACACUCAAUCUGCCAGUGCCUUGAUCUUGGACUUCACAGCCUCCAGAACUGUGAGCAAUAAAUAUCUGUUGUUUAUUUACCCAGCUUAAUGUAUUUUGUUGUAGUAAUCUGAAUGGGCUAAGAUACCCUAUUUUACCAAUACUCUGAGAAUUAAAUAAAAGAAUAAAUGCAGAAUUACUUAAAAAUACAAAUAAACACUUAGAAGCAAGCCAUUAUUAGUA